AGUUAUAUAGUAUAGUAGUAGUAUAUAUAUAUUUUAAAUAUAUUUACUACUCCUCCUUUAGAUAGUGAAUAUAGGUUAUAUAAGGUUAUAGGUUUAAUCCCUAUUAUAGUUG